UCCGGUGGUUCUGAAUGGAAGGGCCAUCGCUCAACGGAUAAAAGGUACUCCGGGGAUAACAGGCUGAUACCGCCCAAGAGUUCAUAUCGACGGCGGUGUUUGGCACCUCGAUGUCGGCUCAUCACAUCCUGGGGCUGAAGUAGGUCCCAAGGGUAUGGCUGUUCGCCAUUUAAAGUGGUACGCGAGCUGGGUUUAGAACGUCGUGAGACAGUUCGGUCCCUAUCUGCCGUGGGCGCUGGAGAACUGAGGGGGGCUGCUCCUAGUACGAGAGGACCGGAGUGGACGCAUCACUGGUGUUCGGGUUGUCAUGCCAAUGGCACUGCCCGGUAGCUAAAUGCGGAAGAGAUAAGUGCUGAAAGCAUCUAAGCACGAAACUUGCCCCGAGAUGAGUUCUCCCUGAGACUUAGAGUCUCCUGAAGGAACGUUGAAGACGACGACGUUGAUAGGCCGGGUGUGUAAGCGCAGCGAUGCGUUGAGCUAACCGGUACUAAUGAACCGUGAGG
rnacentral:rRNA from 1 species